GCGGGUGUAGCUCAAUGGCCAGAGCACCAGCCUUCCAAGCUGGGUAUGCGGGUUCGAUUCCCGUCACCCGCUCCA
rnacentral:tRNA from 1 species